rnacentral:sRNA from 1 species
AGCUGGACCAUGGCAUUAUUCGUUUGGUUGCAUAUUAACCUACCAGAUGGUCUGUUGUAGUUAACAAGGGUCGGCUGCUGCUGCUGCUGCUGCUGCUGCUGCUGCUGCGGUGCCUGCUGCUGCUGUUGCUGCGGUGCCUGCUGCUGCUGCUGCUGUUGCUGCUGCUGCUGCUGUUGCUGCUGCUGCUGCU